UGGUCUGUUUGGAUGGAUGUGACGUAUUGCUAGAAGUGAAAAUAUUCUUCAUUUGUUAUAAGCCUUUAAAAGUGUCAGAGUGGUUCAAUGGAGUGAAAUUCGUGUUUGAAAUCGCUGUGAUAGGUGGUGUUAGGCUACAUGGUAGCAAGGUUGUGAAGCUGGCAGACAGUGGUGGGCUGGAGGACAAAAUACGAGGUGCAGACAUCACUUUUGACGUGCUUCAGAAAACACACACUCGGAGGGAAAGGAAAAGACUUCCGUGUCCCUGCUCUACUCUCUGCUGAUGAAAAUGUGCAGCCAUCACUCUCACACGUUCAUCAUUUUUGCAUCACCGUCAUUCCGUUGAGAUAAAAUUUUCGUAUGAAUUUGAGGACCUAAAGCUUUUUGUGGAGCUGCCUUGUUUCGCAUUUCCCUCCGCGAUGACAAAUGUGAGC